CCCGUCUCCUCCCGUGUGGCCGCCCCGCCUCCCCGGCGCUGAGGUCAGCGCCGGCUAACGUCAGUGCUGGGAACCAGCGCGGGGUUCGGGUACGCGGGAGGGGCGGGAGCGGCGGGUACAGGAGGCCGAGGUGGGCCUGCGCGGACGUGGUCUCCCGCCCCUCGCGGCGGGGGCUGAGUGCCGCUGCCUCCAAGAAGCUUUCGCUGAUGCCGCCUCCCCCUAGCGGCCUCCUCUGACCUCCCACGGCAGUUUCCAGCCACAGCCGGGCAGAGCCACUCACCCCCAAGCUUUGGAGCCAUGUUUCCGCUUUGCUGGUUUUUUUUCUUUUUCAAAACGAGACGGAAUGGGUUCCUCUUGAACCUUCAGGAGUGGGGAACGCAGUUUACUCCCACGGCACUACCACGGCCCUCAGCGGGUCCUUGCUCUCCAAGCAGUUCCUUUCUGUUGCCUGAAAACAUCCAGCUUUCUUCUCGGUGCCACGGAUGGCAGAACCACUGAGCUAAAGCCCCCGGCCCGCCAACUUCUAACCCAAGCCCAGAGCCUGCUCUGGCACCCUUAGGAAACUGAGCUGACCUUGGAAAAAAGAGAACUCAGAGGUUCAUGAAACCAGAGGACAGAUGUCAGCAAGCCCAGAAUUGACCAGAGCUGACCACCAAGGAAGCCAGUGAACAAGGUCACGGCACCGAAAAGCUCCUCAGGGACACUCAGCACCCACAUCUGAGCAUCUUUGACAGUGGGCCUAGUGUUCUGGGCCUCACGCCCUGACACCAGCAUUGAUGAAAAAAACACUUUUCAGAUAAACCAUCACUUGUUUUAUUGCAGGAAAUAAAACUCUUGUCCUUACGUGAAU
rnacentral:lncRNA from 1 species